GGGUAUAUAGCUUAGUGGUAAAAGCAUUUACCUAGCAAGUGUGAGGCCCUGGGUUUAAUCCCAGCACCACCA
rnacentral:tRNA from 1 species